AGAGGCCCUCCGUGGCCAGGGUGGAAUGCUUGCCUCAUUGCAGCGGCGACAAAGCAAACAUUCUGCCAGGCUACUCACACUGCCCAC
rfam:Myotis lucifugus cont2.33176, whole genome shotgun sequence.